GGUGGUCAGUCAUAAAUGGCAUGGAAUGUGGGGGAAAAUGAGCCAGUUUUUGGAGAAAUUCUUGCUUCACUGGUUUGGAAGUUCACUCCUGAACGACUACAAGACUGUUAAAGGGACAGAAUAUUUGCAAGAUAUUUGCAUUUUGAACUAAAGGAAAAUUCUUGGUUUUCUUUUUUUCUUUUUUUAAUGAAAAUUUGGAUUUAGGAAAAUGCACUGUAAUUAAAUUGUCUUGUUAUCUACUGUUUGCUGUUAUGCUAAAUGGUUAUCAAAGUUAAUCAAAUGUGUUUGAACUAUUUGGUUG